UACGGAGGGUGCGAGCGUUGUCCGGAAUUACUGGGCGUAAAGCGCACGUAGGCGGCUUUGCAAGUCGGGUGUGAAAUCCCCGGGCUCAACCUGGGAACUGCAUCCGAGACUGCUUUGCUCGAGUAUGGGAGAGGGAAGUGGAAUUUCCGGUGUAGCGGUGAAAUGCGUAGAUAUCGGAAGGAACAUCAGUGGCGAAGGCGACUUCCUGGACCAAUACUGACGCUCAGGUGCGAAAGCGUGGGGAGCAAACAGG
rnacentral:rRNA from 1 species